AGGACGACGCUGGCGGCGUGCUUAACACAUGCAAGUGGUGCGACGAACCAGGGCUUGCCCUGGGGCCAAGCCGCGAACGGUGAGUAACACGUGAGUAACCUGCCCCGAUGACCGGGACAACCCGAGGGAAACUCGGGCUAAUACCGGAUGUGGCGCACAAUCGUAAGUUUGUGCGCUAAAGGAAGCUUCGGCCUCCGCAUUGGGAGGGGCUCGCGGCCCAUUAGCUUGUUGGUGAGGUAACGGCUCACCAAGGCAACGAUGGGUAGCUGGUCUGAGAGGACGAUCAGCCACACUGGGACUGAGACACGGCCCAGACUCCUACGGGAGGCAGCAGUGGGGAAUCUUGCGCAAUGCGCGAAAGCGUGACGCAGCAACGCCGCGUGGGGGAAGACGGCCUUCGGGUUGUAAACCCCUUUCAGGAGGGACGAAGGUUCACCGGUGAAUAGCCGUGUGGAUUGACGGUACCUCCAGAAGAAGCUCCGGCUAGCUACGUG
rnacentral:rRNA from 1 species